UUUUCACACUUAACAUUUUUGCUAAGUUAACCAAGUGAUAACAGUGCAUAUACUACUACGUACACACUUCACUUUUAAUUUAUUCCCAAAUUCACUUUUAACCUAAGAUAACCAUGGCGAUCGCGAUGAAGCAAGCCGCCGUCGUACCCAUCAGCAAGCCGUCGCACCAAGUUCAUCACUGCAGAUCGAUCGCCGUCGCACCACCCAGCUCGAUCGCCAUCGCACCAAUGUUCAUCUAACCCUCACACCCAGCCCUUCAUCUAACCAUCACACCCAGCCCUCUCUCUGUCGCAUCCAACCCUCGCACCAUCAAUGGUCUCUCGCAAACGAUCGCAAACCCUCGUAAACCCAACCCUCUGUCUCUGUCUUUGUCUCAAUGGUCUCUCCCUCAAUCGGUCUCUCGGCGUGCCCAGGCAUCGGUGUGGCCUCCUACUCGCAAACCCUUGCAAACCCUCGCAAACGCAACCCUCUGUCUCUGUCUCUGUCUCUGUCUCUGUCUCUGUUUCAGUGGUCUCUUCCUUAAUCGGCACCGUAAACACACUGGAUCCUCAUAUUCAUAUUAUACAUACCAAGGUCACGAGAUCUUUACAAAGAUUCUGAGGAAUUGAAGAAGAAAAAGAAUCUAACCCUGGAGCACUAUACAAACUACAAAGCCUCAAAUCUUGAAACUGUUGUUCUUGCACUUGUAGAUUUGCAGCUCAACACCAAAGCCAGUUCCCUGAAUGCUAUACGUGAAAAGUAUAAACAACAUAAGGUAAAAAUUUGGUGUUUACUAUCUUCACUAAUAAAAGUAAUAUCCUAAAUUAGUUUUCAAAGGAAUAUUUUAUCGGAUAUCUUAAUUUUUAUUAAAUUUUAAUUAUUAAAUUAGUCUUUGAAUUUCUCUAGGUUAUAUUGCUUACUACCUGAAUGGACUAAUUUGAGAAUUUAAAAAUUUUUAAGGAAUUUUAUUAAAUAACGUAUAAAGUUAUAAAAAAAAUUAUAUAAAGAUUUUUAUAAAAUCUUUAGCAAAAUUUAACACGUAAAUGAUCUGUGUAACAAAAUGUUAAAAUAAAACAUUGAGGCUAAUUUUCGUAAUUAAAAUUUGUUUGGUAUGGAAGUGUUUGACUGAAUAUUCUAUAUGAACUAAUUUGGGUAUUCCUAUUUAAUAACUAAAUUGGUGAAUUAAUCGACAUAUAAAUGCUUAUAAUAUUAGAGUUCGUUAUGGCUAUUAUAGUCCAUGAAAAUGAGUAUUAUACAGCGCAUUGUGCUCAACCCUCACCUUAAACACUACAAGGUAAGUAUUUUUUCUGUCUGUUUCCCUGUUCAUGUGAUAAGGGCCAUUAUUUUGGAAACUUAGGUAUUAAUGGUGUGUUGUGUUACUCUGUUUCUCUGUUCUUGUGAUAAGGGCCAUGAAUGAAUCUGAUUCGUUUUUGUAUGUUUAGUAAAUGACUGUGAUUAUGGGACUUGCAAAGGUGGGGAAAUCUACACUGUUAUGUGCCAGUUCAGGUCUUAAAAUAACUUCCUUUGUCCUUGCUCAAUAAUAAAUAUAUUUGUAUGAUUUAAGCUAAAUUGGAAAUUAUGAAUUUUUUUUUCUUUCGGGUAAUUUGCAUCCUUCAACCAAGACCUCUGGUGAAGUGUUUGUGAAGGGAACAAAAUCACACUUGUCUUAUGGAUUGUAUGUUUUUUCACUGGCUGUGAUUUCUGUUUAACAUUCAAAUUGAGGUUAAUCUGCUUAGUUAUAAUAAAUUUAUGCUCAAAUAGAUUUGUAUUAACUUUUCUGACAUAUGAACCAGUGUUAUGGUUUUGUGUCCCGAAAUCAAUGCCUGCUAUGUUGAGCAAAUUGAUGGCAUUCCUAAGUUACAAGGUGGUGUCUCCUCUUAUGGAAAAAUGGUUAGUAAGAGUAGCAUUCUUUCUUUAUUACUUUUAUGAGAAUUGAUUUAUCUUCUUAAUAGAUCCUCCUAAUUGUUUCUCUUAAUCUGAGGCAAAAUACUCUUUCAUUCAGUACCUCUUGACAAGAUUGAGUAAGGUUUAGAUGUUGCUUUCCAAUUCAAAUUUCAUUCUUUUUCCAAUUAAAAUCUCCUUAUUAGCCAUAUGUAGCCUGCAAACAUAACUUGUAACUGUGUCUUCUCCUCCCAGUUUGAUGAUGGGCUUGGUUUCGACAUUCCAGCGGCAUCAUACUCUGAAUCAUAGAUCCAAGGUUUGCUUGCUGCGUUAUUGGCUGUUGAUUAUUCAGUGGAUUCGAUUCGUUGAUGUGCAAAAGAAGGCAGCAGCAGCAGCUAAGAGAGGAGGCAAGGCGGCUGCUUUGUUGAAAUAAUUAUGUAGGUGUGAAACAUGAAGCAUUCAUGCUUGGAGCUUCCAAGGGCAAGCACACGAACAAAGGAUUUGAUCUUUUCAUUACCACUUCACCAAUACUAGAUCUGAAUGAGAAUCUUAUUGUGUUGGGGCGAGUUGUCAAGGGAAAUUAAGGAUGUUCGGGUGACUAAAUUUGCUUCUCGUUGUUAUGUCUGUGUCCUUUUUGUUGAUCCAUAUCCUUUCCCAUUUAGUUAAGGUUUUCUACACAUAUUAUCAUGUCUGAGAAGUUAAUGAUUAUCAUUUUUAUCGCUAAAUUUAAACAAAUAAUUAACUUCAAAUGAGUUGUUCACUGCAUAUAUUUGUUUUAAAAUUUCAUUUCAUCACCAUCUGAAUAGAUAAGUUCAUAUUCUGACUUGAUGAUGUAUUUUGGAAUGAAAUUACAUCAAAGCAAUUUCAAUAUUAGUUAUUUCA